rnacentral:rRNA from 1 species
AUUGAACGCUGGCGGCAGGCCUAACACAUGCAAGUCGAGCGGUAGAGAGGUGCUUGCAUCUCUUGAGAGCGGCGGACGGGUGAGUAAUGCCUAGGAAUCUGCCUAGUGGUGGGGGAUAACGUUCGGAAACGGACGCUAAUACCGCAUACGUCCUACGGGAGAAAGCGGGGGAUCUUCGGACCUCGCGCCAUUAGAUGAGCCUAGGUCGGAUUAGCUAGUUGGUGAGGUAAUGGCUCACCAAGGCGACGAUCCGUAACUGGUCUGAGAGGAUGAUCAGUCACACUGGAACUGAGACACGGUCCAGACUCCUACGGAGGCAGCAGUGGGGAAUAUUGGACAAUAGGGCGAAAGACCUGAUCCAGCCAUGCCGCGUCG